rfam:Canis lupus familiaris chromosome 8, whole genome shotgun sequence.
AUCACCUAGGGAUCUUGUUAAAAGGCAGAUUCUGAUUUAGGGACCAAGAUUCUGCAUUUUUAGCAAGUUCCCAAGUGAUGCUAG